UGGGGAAUAUUGGACAAUGGGGGCAACCCUGAUCCAGCAAUUCUGUGUGCACGAUGAAGGUCUUCGGAUUGUAAAGUGCUUUCAGCAGGGAAGAAAAAAAUGACGGUACCUGCAGAAGAAGCGACGGCUAAAUACGUGCCAGCAGCCGCGGUAAUACGUAUGUCGCGAGCGUUAUCCGGAAUUAUUGGGCAUACAGGGCAUCUAGGCGGCCGGAUAAGUCUGGGGUGAAAACUUGCGGCUCAACCGCAA
rnacentral:rRNA from 1 species